rnacentral:rRNA from 1 species
AACGAACGCUGGCGGCAUGCCUAACACAUGCAAGUCGAACGAGACCUUCGGGUCUAGUGGCGCACGGGUGCGUAACGCGUGGGAAUCUACCCUUGGGUUCGGAAUAACUCAGAGAAAUUUGAGCUAAUACCGGAUGAUGUCGCAAGACCAAAGAUUUAUCGCCCAAGGAUGAGCCCGCGUAGGAUUAGCUUGUUGGUGAGGUAAAAGCUCACCAAGGCGACGAUCCUUAGCUGGUCUGAGAGGAUGAUCAGCCACACUGGGACUGAGACACGGCCCAGACUCCUACGGGAGGCAGCAGUGGGGAAUAUUGGACAAUGGGCGAAAGCCUGAUCCAGCAAUGCCGCGUGAGUGAUGAAGGCCUUAGGGUUGUAAAGCUCUUUCGCCAGGGAAGAUAAUGACGGUACCUGGAAAAGAAGCCUCGGCUAACUCCGUGCCAGCAGCCGCGGUAAU